rnacentral:rRNA from 1 species
UACGUAGGGGGCUAGCGUUGUCCGGAAUCAUUGGGCGUAAAGAGCGUGUAGGCGGCCCGGUAAGUCCGCUGUGAAAGUCGGGGGCUCAACCCUCGAAUGCCGGUGGAUACUGUCGGGCUAGAGUGCGGAAGAGGCGAGUGGAAUUCCUGGUGUAGCGGUGAAAUGCGUAGAUAUCAGGAGGAACACCGAUGGCGAAGGCAGCUCGCUGGGACGGUACUGACGCUGAGGCGCGAAAGCGUGGGGAGCGAACAGG